UACGUAGGGUGCAAGCGUUAAUCGGAAUUACUGGGCGUAAAGCGUGCGCAGGCGGUUUUGUAAGUCUGUCGUGAAAUCCCCGGGCUCAACCUGGGAAUUGCGAUGGAGACUGCAAGGCUAGAAUCUGGCAGAGGGGGGUAGAAUUCCACGUGUAGCAGUGAAAUGCGUAGAGAUGCGGCGGAACACCGAUGGCGAAGGCAGCCCCCUGGGCUGAGAUUGACGCUCAGGCACGAAAGCGUGGGGAGCAAACAGG
rnacentral:rRNA from 1 species